UACAGAGGUCUCAAGCGUUGUUCGGAUUCAUUGGGCGUAAAGGGUGUGUAGGUGGCGCCGUAAGUCGGGUGUGAAAUUUCGGAGCUUAACUCCGAAACUGCAUUCGAUACUGCCGGGCUCGAGUCCGGAAGAGGCGAGUGGAAUUCCCGGUGUAGCGGUGAAAUGCGCAGAUAUCGGGAGGAACACCAAUGGCGAAGGCAGCUCGCUGGGACGUGACUGAC
rnacentral:rRNA from 1 species